rnacentral:rRNA from 2 species
GGGGGAUAUUGCACAAUGGGGGAAACCCUGAUGCAGCGACGCCGCGUGGAGGAAGAAGGUUUUCGGAUUGUAAACUCCUGUCGUUAGGGACGAUAAUGACGGUACCUAACAAGAAAGCACCGGCUAACUACGUGCCAGCAGCCGCGGUAAAACGUAGGGUGCAAGCGUUGUCCGGAAUUACUGGGUGUAAAGGGAGCGCAGGCGGGAAGACAAGUUGGAAGUGAAAACCAUGGGCUCAACCCAUGAAUUGCUUUCAAAACUGUUUUUCUUGAGUAGUGCAGAGGUAGAUGGAAUUCCCGGUGUAGCGGUGGAAUGCGUAGAUAUCGGGAGGAACACCAGUGGCAAAGGCGGUCUACUGGGCACCAACUGACGCUGAGGCUCGAAAGCAUGGGUAGCAAACAGGAUUAGAUACCCUGGUAGUCCAUGCCGUAAACGAUGAUUACUAGGUGUUGGGGGAUUGACCCCCUCAGUGCCGCAGUUAACACAAUAAGUAAUCCACCUGGGGAGUACGACCGCAAGGUUGAAACUCAAAGGAAUUGACGGGGGCCCGCACAAGCAGUGGAGUAUGUGGUUUAAUUCGAAGCAACGCGAAGAACCUUACCAGGUCUUGACAUCCGAUGCAUAGCACAGAGAUGUGUGAAAUCCUUCGGGACAUCGAGACAGGUGGUGCAUGGUUGUCGUCAGCUCGUGUCGUGAGAUGUUGGGUUAAGUCCCGCAACGAGCGCAACCCUUAUUGCCAGUUACUACGUUAAGAGGACUCUGGCGAGACUGCCGUUGACAAAACGGAGGAAGGUGGGGAUGACGUCAAAUCAUCAUGCCCUUUAUGACCUGGGCUACACACGUACUACAAUGGCGUUAAACAAAGAGAAGCAAGACCGCGAGGUGGAGCAAAACUCAAAAACAACGUCUCAGUUCAGAUUGCAGGCUGCAACUCGCCUGCAUGAAGUCGGAAUUGCUAGUAAUCGCGGAUCAGCAUGCCGCGGUGAAUACGUUCCCG